UGAUGUUAGGGGUAUCAUAUAUAGUUGGUCCUUCUAGGACUCGUCAGUGAUGUUAGGGGUAUCAUAUAUAUUUGGUCCCUCGAAGACUCGUCAGUGAUGUUCGGGAUAUCAUACAGCCGUUUGGUUGUUCGAUGACUCGGCAGUGAUGGUAUAGGGACAUCAUACACUUGUUUGGUGGUUCUAAGACUCGUCAGUGAUGUUAAGAACAGCUGCUUGGUCUUUCUAGUAACAAAUGUUUGGUGACAAAAGUGGAAAUCCAGAAGGGAUUUUUGGAGAAUAAAAUGGACAAUGGACUUUAACAACGUUUUUUGGAUAACGGAAAACAGUCUCAAAUCUCGUGCUGCAUCAAAUCUUCUUUGCUCAGUGAAUAUUUCCUGUUGAUUCCAGAUCGAAGUAUUCUGUUGACGGACUCAAUGUACGUAUCUGUGGAUUGUUAAUUGAAUAUCAUCACAUAUGUUCCGCUGUUACUUGGCGAGGGGAAAGAUUCUCUAAAAACAAUUAUCUUUUUGUUAACGUUACAAGUAAUAAAAUAAUUGCAUGAUUACAGUUGUUGCAUCUGAAAAACAUUGUAAAGUCUUAGGGUCUAAGGUAUUCACGUGGAAUUACAAUUAUGUUCAGUUUUCAGGGAAACGAAUCUCAAUGAAAAUAAAUCAAUUUUAAAAAGUA